GCUGGGCAUAGUGAUGCAUGCCUGUAGUCCCAGCUACUCGGAGUGCUGAGGCAGGAGGAUCGCUUCAACCCAGGAGGUCAAGGCUGCAGUCAGCUGAGAUGAUGCCACUGCACUCUAGCCUGGGUGACAAAGUGAGACCCUGUCUCAA
rfam:Pan troglodytes isolate Yerkes chimp pedigree #C0471 (Clint) chromosome 10, whole genome shotgun sequence.